UAGAGUUUGAUCCUGGCUCAGGAUGACCCUUGGCGGCGUGCCUAAUACAUGCAAGUCGAACGCAUUGUGGCUGAUAUGAUAUGAAGAACUUGUUCAGAUUUGAUUUUCAACAUUGCAAUGAGUGGCGAACGGGUGAGUAACACGUGGGAAACCUACCUCUUAGCAGGGGAUAACAUUUGGAAACAAAUGCUAAUACCGUAUAAUAAUUAAAACCGCAUGGUUUUAGUUUAAAAGAUGGUCUUGCUAUCACUAAGAGAUGGUCCCGCGGUGUAUUAGUUAGUUGGUGAGGUAAUGGCUCACCAAGACAAUGAUACAUAGCCGAGUUGAGAGACUGACCGGCCACAAUGGGACUGAGACACGGCCCAUACUCCUACGGGAGGCAGCAGUAGGGAAUCUUCCACAAUGGACGAAAGUCUGAUGGAGCAACGCCGCGUGUGUGAUGAAGGGUUUCGGCUCGUAAAACACUGUUGUAAGAGAAGAAUGACAUUGAGAGUAACUGUUCAAUGUGUGACGGUAUCUUACCAGAAAGGAACGGCUAAAUACGUGCCAGCAGCCGCGGUAAUA
rnacentral:rRNA from 1 species